AUGGCAGGGCAGGAUGCAGUCAGCAUACAUGGGGCAGCUAAAACUUCCCUAGAAACCUUCACUAUUUCUGGCAUAAAAAACCAAUCACAGAAACUAGGGAACGAUACAGUCAGGUUGGCUUUAGGUGAACCCAAGAAGCUAACGGGUAAGAUGUCUGCUUAUGCCUUCUUUGUGCAGACAUACAGAGAGGAACAUAAGGAGAAAAACCCAGAUAUUCCUGACAAUGUUGCAGAAUUUUCCAAGAAGUGCUCUGAGAAGUGGAAGACAAUGCCUGGGAAAGAGAAGUCUAAAUUUGAUGAAACAGCAAAGACAAAGAGAGUACGCUACGAUCGGGAAAUUAAGGAUAUGGACCAGCUGAGGGAGGCAAGAAGACAACAGACCCUAAUGCCCAAAGGCCAACAUCUGGAUUCUUCCCGUUCCGUUCAGAAUGCCGCCUCGGGAUCAAAUCCACAAACCCUGGCAUCUCUACUGGAGAUGUGGCAAAGUAGCUGGAAAAGAUAUGGAAUAACAAGUGGUAGUGAAAAGCAGCCUUACUCCAACAAGGCUGCAAAGCCGAAGGAGAAGCAUGAGAAGGAUGCUGCUGACUCUAAGUCCAAAGGAAAGCUUGACGGCGCGAAGUGUCCUACUCAAGUUACCUGGAAAAAAGUGGAAAAGGAAGACAGAGAAGACAAGAAGGAGGAAGAGGAACAGAAAACCUGUUUAUCUGCCUCUUGUGAGUACCUUAGAGUAGGGGAGAGCCAUAGCUGA